UACGUAGGGUGCGAGCGUUUAAUCGGAAUUACUGGGCGUAAAGCGUGCGCAGGCGGUUUUGUAAGCCAGAUGUGAAAGCCCCCGGGCUCAACCUGGGAAUGGCAUUUGGGACUGCAAGGGCUGGAGUUUGGCAGAGGAGACUGGAAUUCCUGGUGUAGCAGUGAAAUGCGUAGAUAUCAGGAGGAACACCGAUGGCGAAGGCAGGUCUCUGGGCUGAAACUGACGCUCAUGCACGAAAGCGUGGGGAGCAAACAGG
rnacentral:rRNA from 1 species